AACGAACGCUGGCGGCAGGCUUAACACAUGCAAGUCGAGUGCCCCGCAAGGGGAGCGGCAGACGGGGGAGUAACGCGUGGGAAUCUACCCAUCUCUACGGAAUAACGCAUGGAAACGUGUGCUAAUACCGUAUACGUCCUUCGGGAGAAAGAUUUAUCGGAGAUGGAUGAGCCCGCGUUGGAUUAGCUAGUUGGUGGGGUAAAGGCCUACCAAGGCGACGAUCCAUAGCUGGUCUGAGAGGAUGAUCAGCCACACUGGGACUGAGACACGGCCCAGGCCACUACGGGAGGCAGCAGUGGGGAAUAUUGGACAAUGGGCGCAAGCCUGAUCCAGCCAUGCCGCGUGAGUGAUGAAGGCCCUAGGGUUGUAAAGCUCUUUCACCGGUGAAGAUAAUGACGGUAACCGGAGAAGAAGCCCCGGCUAACUUCGUGCCAGCCGCCGCGGUAAGAC
rnacentral:rRNA from 1 species